rnacentral:rRNA from 1 species
AGCGAACGCUGGCGGCAGGCCUAACACAUGCAAGUCGAACGGAUCCUUCGGGAUUAGUGGCGGACGGGUUAGUAACACGUGGGAACGUGCCCUUUGGUUCGGAACAACUCAGGGACACUUGAGCUAAUACCGGACGUGCCCUUCGGGGGGAGGAUUUAUCGCAAUAGUAGCGACCCUCGUCUGAUUCGCUAGUUGGUGAGGUAACGGCACACGAAGGCGACGAUCAGUAGCUGGGCAGAGAGGAUGGUCAGCCACACUGAGACUCAGACGCGGCCCAGAAUCCUACGGGAGGGAGCAGUGGGGGAUCUAGCGAAAUGGGCGAAAGGAUGACGCAGCCCUGCCGGGUGAAUGAUGAAGGUCUGAGGAUAGUAAAAUUCUUUCAGCGGGGACGAUAAUGACGGUACCCGCAGAGAAAGCUCCGGCUAACUUCGUG